UAACCCCUCAAGCUUAGCUUGGUAUUGGGGCCUGCCGCACCGGCAGCCCUUAAAAUCAGUGGCAGUGCCAUCUGGCUCUAAGCGUAGUAAUUCUUCUCGCUAUAGAGUCCCGGUGGAUGCUUGCCAUCAACCCCUAAUUUUCUAU
rnacentral:misc_RNA from 1 species